rnacentral:rRNA from 1 species
CCUACGGGAGGCUGCAGUGAGGAAUAUUGGUCAAUGGCCGGAAGGCUGAACCAGCCAUGCCGCGUGAAGGUCAGUGCCCUAUGGGCGUUAAACUUCUUUUGUGCGGGAGCAAUAAUGGUCACGUGUGGCCAGACGAGAGUACCGUACGAAUAAGCAUCGGCUAACUCCGUGCCAGCAGCCGCGGUAAGACGGGGGAAGCAAGCGUUAUCCGGAUUUAUUGGGUUUAAAGGGUGCGUAGGCUGUGAGGUAAGUCAGCGGUGAAAUGCCCCGGCUCAACGGGGUGAAGUGCCAUUGAUACUGCCUUGCUGGAAUGCGGAUGCCGUGGGAGGAAUGUGUGGUGUAGCGGUGAAAUGCAUAGAUAUCACACAGAACACCGAUUGCGAAGGCAGCUCACGAAUCCGCGAUUGACGCUGAUGCACGAAAGCGUGGGUAUCAAACAGGAUUAGAUACCCUAGUAGUC